AACGUAGGAGACAAACGUUAUCCGGAGUUACUGGGCGUAAAGGGCGUGCAGGCGGUCUGUUAAGUUCGGCGUGAAAGCGCCUGGCUAAACCGGGCGAGGUCGUCGGAGACUGGCAGACUAGAGGGUGAUAGAGGCGGGUGGAAUUCCGGGUGUAGUGGUGAAAUGCGUAGAGAUCCGGAGGAACACCAGUGGCGAAGGCGACCCGCUGGGCCGUCCCUGACGCUGAGGCGCGAAGGCGUGGGGAGCGAACGGG
rnacentral:rRNA from 1 species